rnacentral:SRP_RNA from 1 species
GCUGGGCGCGGUGGCGCGUGCCUGUGGUCCCAGCUACUCGGGAGACUGAGGUGGGAGGAUCACUUGAGCCCAGGAGUUCUGGGCUGUAGUGCGCUGUGCUGAUCGGGUGUCCGCGCUAAGUUCGGCAUCAAUAUGGUGAUCUCUUGGGAGCAGGGGACCACCAGGUUGCUUAAGGAGGGGUGAAUUGGCCCAGGUCAGAAACGGAGCAGGUCAAAACUCCCGUGCUGAUCAGUAGUGGGAUGGCGCCUGUGAACAGCCACUGCACUCCAGCCUGGGCAACAUAGCAAGAUCCCAUCUCU